AAAUUGAUUAUACAAAAUAUCACAGACUAUGCAAUCUAUAAAGAAUAAAAAUUUACUUUUCACCUUUCAGGAGUCUGGGAAGUGCAAGAUCAAGGGCCUGGCAGUUUCAUUGUCUGGUGAGCGUCCCAUCUCUGUUUCCAGGAUGGCACCUUGAAAGCUAUGUCCUCCAGGAAAGAGAAGGAAUACUAUGCUCUUAAAUGACAGAAGAUGAACAGGGAAGUAUGGUGUCAAACUUCCUCCAUCAAGCUCUUUAAUAAGGGGAUGGAAUCCCAUGCAUGAUGGUAAAGCUCCUGAGUUACCUCCCAAAUAUCACACUUCCCAAUGCUGAGAAUUACCUUUCAGCAUGAGUUUUGUGGAGGACAAAGACAAACUGUAGCACCGAUUAAACAAAUAUUUACAUUUGUGGUGUUUACAAUAAAAUAGCAAUAAAAAUUGGAAAGCACAGACACUGAGGAGACAGAAGAUGCUGGAAACGAAUGAAAUUGUUGGAAAUGAUGAACACAUAGAUGAGUCUGACUAAAUUACAAAAACUAAAUGCCUGCAGAAGGAAAUGACACUCAGAAGUAAGCCACAGAGUCACAGAAAUGCUCAGGAGUUGGAGAAUUAGAUUUCCCUUUGGAAAUAAUUUUAAUGGGCACCUGUGGAUGUUUCUGGGAAUGAGGGAGCCAAAUCUGAGAAUGAGAUUGAUUGAAAAAAUUCCUAAGGAACAGUUAGACUUUAUUUUUCCAUUUCCUUUUUAGGCAUCCAGAAUACAGCCCAUCGUCAUGCCCAGAGACAAUGGAAGGGGAGCUCUUUGGGCUUGAAGUAUGCAAAACAAAGAGGAUGGGAAGCAGGAGUCUCAGGAAAUCUUAGGGGCCGGAUCAAUGAAUCUCAGUGGUGAUGAAGUUGGACUACUGACCAGAGGCGGCCUCUCUCACCUUUUCCUGACUGCUUGGUGCCUAAGUCCUGGUGUCAUGCCAGGGAGUGAUGAAACGUAAGAGGUUUUCAUUUUACGUGCCUAACGGAAGUGCUUUGCAAGGGAACGUGGGAAUACUGCCAGACAACUGCAGACAGCUGUGUGACCAUCUUGAAGCUGCUUCCCAAAGCAGCCCACUGUGGAAGGAUGUGACUGUCACUCCCUGGGAAGCCAGAAAGGAGGCAUUUGACAAAGGAGGAAAUCAGCUGUUGGACCAAAGAAGGAUUUAAACACUGAAGAAAUGCCAAUCAUGGAAGACAGUUGUUCCGCGAUACGCAGUCCUCAGGCUUGCCUGAGGUCUACUUCUGUUGGCCUAGCAAUUUGCUCAGCUCUUGCUAUUUUAGGAAGGAAUUUCCACAGAGCUGGCAUAUCUUCAGCCCCCGAGGUUUCCUCUGAUUGACUGAUCAACAGGUGUUGAAAAAGCCUGUGGCAGAAAUAUCACAGACCCAGUGUGCUCAUUUGACUUUUGUAGCUGUGACUGUAGUUCCAUCUGGGUGGACUAUUUCAUAAGGAGCCCUUCUGCCCAAUGAAAAGUAAAUAGAUCAUUUACAAGACUUACAGGUAAUUACUAUUCCAUACAUUCAGCAUAUGCACUCAGUAACAGUAUAUGUUAUUUAUGGUUUAUAAAUUGAAUCAAUGUUUAUACAAGUAAAACCUAAAUUGAAUAUGUUAUAGGAUAAACUUUUCCAAGAAAUAUUGCUGGUGUUGUAAUCUUAAAAAUAUAUUAAGCCAUCUUGACUUAUUGUGUUUUACACGCAAGCUUCAAGAAAAGCUACUAAAAUGAUAGUCAUGGAGAAAAAAGGAAAAAGAAAAAGGCACAUUUAAAGUGUUAGACUGUCAAAUACUUCAAAAAUGCAAGUUGUUACACUAUUUUUACAUUAAAUUUUAUUUUCCUUCUUCCUUCAUCUUCUUUUUAAUUUUUUAUUUUGUAUGAUACUAGAGAUUGAACCCAGAGCUUUUACAACUAAACUACAUCUGCAGCCCUUUUCUUAAUUUAAAAAAAAAAUUUAUUUUGAGACAGAGUCCUGCUCAGUUGCUGAGUUCUCCAAACUGGACUUGAACUUGUGAUUCACCUGUCAUAGCCUCCCAGGAUGCUGGGCUUACGGGCAUGCAGUAUAACAUCUGACUUUAAAUUUUAUUUCUGGAUUUUUUUCUUUUUUUUUUUGAUUUUUUUCUUUUUUUUUUUUUUUGGUUUUUCUCCGGUACCGGGAACCGAACUCACGACCUUGU
ensembl:lincRNA